GCCUUCGAGGUGUAGCGGUCAGCAUGCUGGGCGCGUAUUCCAGAGGACCGUGGUUCGAAUCCUGGCGAGGGCA
rfam:Stegodyphus mimosarum contig80164, whole genome shotgun sequence.